rnacentral:rRNA from 1 species
GACGAACGCGGGCGGCGUGCCUAAUACAUGCAAGUAGGACGCACAGCCUAUACCGUAGCUUGCUACACCAUAGGCUGUGAGUUGCGAACGGGUGAGUAACGCGUAGGUAACCUGCCUAUUAGAGGGGGAUAACUAUUGGAAACGAUAGCUAAUACCGCAUAACAGUAUGUAACACGUGUUAGAUGCUUGAAAGAUGCAAUUGCAUCGCUAGUAGAUGGACCUGCGUUGUAUUAGCUAGUAGGUAGGGUAAUGGCCUACCUAGGCAACGAUACAUAGCCGACCUGAGAGGGUGAUCGGCCACACUGGGACUGAGACACGGCCCAGACUCCUACGGGAGGCAGCAGUAGGGAAUCUUCGGCAAUGGGGGGAACCCUGACCGAGCAACGCCGCGUGAGUGAAGAAGGUUUUCGGAUCGUAAAGCUCUGUUGUUAAGGAAGAACGAGUGUGAGAAUGGAAAGUUCAUACUGUGACGGUACUUAACCAGAAAGGGACGGCUAACUACGUGCCAGCAGCCGCGGUAAUACGUAGGUCCCGAGCGUUGUCCGGAUUUAUUGGGCGUAAAGCGAGCGCAGGCGGUUAGAAAAGUCUGAAGUGAAAGGCAGUGGCUCAACCAUUGUAGGCUUUGGAAACUGUUUAACUUGAGUGCAGAAGGGGAGAGUGGAAUUCCAUGUGUAGCGGUGAAAUGCGUAGAUAUAUGGAGGAACACCGGUGGCGAAAGCGGCUCUCUGGUCUGUCACUGACGCUGAGGCUCGAAAGCGUGGGGAGCGAACAGG